GAUGAACGCUGGCGGCGUGCCUAAUACAUGCAAGUCGAGCGAACAGAUGAGGAGCUUGCUCCUCUGACGUUAGCGGCGGACGGGUGAGUAACACGUGGAUAACCUACCUAUAAGACUGGGAUAACUUCGGGAAACCGGAGCUAAUACCGGAUAAUAUAUUGAACCGCAUGGUUCAAUAGUGAAAGACGGUUUUGCUGUCACUUAUAGAUGGAUCCGCGCCGCAUUAGCUAGUUGGUAAGGUAACGGCUUACCAAGGCAACGAUGCGUAGCCGACCUGAGAGGGUGAUCGGCCACACUGGAACUGAGACACGGUUCAGACUCCUACGGGAGGCAGCAGUAGGGAAUCUUCCGCAAUGGGCGAAAGCCUGACGGAGCAACGCCGCGUGAGUGAUGAGGGUCUUCGGAUCGUAAAACUCUGUUAUUAGGGAAGAACAAAUGUGUAAGUAACUAUGCACGUCUUGACGGUACCUAAUCAGAAAGCCACGGCUAACUACGUG
rnacentral:rRNA from 1 species